GGUUUUCUUCCCUCUGUGUUCAGCUCUCCAGGUUAUGCUGGUGUAUUUGGCCUUGGCGUGUGCAAGUGGCAUUGGAGUCCCGGGCUCUGAACACACAAAGAGUGAGUUCGACGCUCUCCCAGAGCUCUUUCUCCUACAAAAGGAGGUAUACAAGAAGGAUACAUUUUAGUUCUACGCUAAAAAGCAGAUGAGUG